ensembl:lncRNA
CAAGCGAUUGUCCAGUUUCGAUGCGAGGCUGUCCCUGGUGGAGAUUCUACACCGGGAAUUUAAAUCCUUGCGAGAAUCCCUGGAGUUCAGCCAGCAGCAGGUGGAAACGCUCGCUGCUGAAAACGCCACGCUAAAGGAGUCGGUCAAAUGUCUUACUGAAAAUCUUCCCCAGAAUCCGCGAGAGAAGACGCGGAAACUACGUGAAAAGCUUCAUCAAAACCCACCUGAAGCUGCCGGAGGACACUGUAAAGAAUUUCGCAUUUGAAAGAGUGCAUCGCAUCGGGGCCAUGAGGUCAGCGGCCAGGAGCCCACAUCCUAUUGUGGCCAAAUUCGGCCACUUCAAACAAAAGGAACAGGUGAAGAGUUGCGGCAGGGAAUUAAAAGGAAUGGACUUCAGCGUGAACGACCAGUUCCCAAAAGAGAUCCUGGAACGACGCAAGGUCCUCUUUCCAAUCUGACGCGGCUUCAUCCAGAAGGGCUUCCACGCUGUCAUCGCUGUGGACGGAUGGCUUUACCGCGACCCCGGCAUCACUCCGUGGAAGGCUUCUCGGGGGUAAGGCCGUCAAGCACUCCAGCAACCUUUAUGGUUCUUCUUUGAUUCAACAGGAACUGUUAGAAAAGCCUUUCAGUGCCUCCAGCUACUGGUUUUUGCAUGAAAGACACAGGCAUAAACACAAACAUGAAGCUUAAAGCUGCCUUACCUUUUCUUCAAUGACCGCUCCAGAUGGUUAUGGUCCGUUCUGUCGCAUCCCAAGGCGUCUCCUGGAUCCUGUUUUCUCCUGUCUGGUUCCUGUUGUGGGCUGAAGUGUCCAUAACCCUGCUCGCCACUGUAUUUUCCAUCUUGGGGAUCGUGGAAUAAACGUUUUGAAUUUGUACGCAUUAUCAUGGGCUACACAGACAACUUCUACCCGGGCUCCAGCUCCAACAAGGAUGACUGAUAAAUGUGUGGUUUUAUAAAUGAUUUUCUUUCUUCCAGUGGAUUGGAUCUCCUGUUUGUGACUGAGACACAGAUGAGAGUUGGUGAGCCUAGCAUUAUUUCUGAACCGUUACCCUCUGACUGCUCAUUUCUUAAUGCUCCAAGGAGAUCAGGUAGAGGAGGAGGAAUACUGACUGUUUUUAAGAAAAAACUUUCACUACAAACAACUCCAUGUACUGGUUUCUGCCUCCAGCUUUGAACUUCUCAUAUUU